AACCCAUGAUGAUGACACAUUCUCAAAAGAUCCUUAAAUAUCUCUCAUGCGUCAUAUAAUGUCUCUAUAUCAAAUUGAGAAAAAGAAGAGAUGUCGUUUCUCAACUU
rfam:Gossypium raimondii chromosome 13, whole genome shotgun sequence.